rnacentral:ncRNA from 1 species
UUGGCUAUUUUAGAUAGUUUGUAUUCAUGAAAAACAUGGAUACAAACCAAACUGUUUGUAUCUAUGAUGGCUAAGGGAUUUUGUAAUGACUUUAAAGCCACGUAGAUCAAGAAUCUAUAGUGGCUCUUUUUAUUCCCAUCGGAAAAUAUAUUUUUUCGCAUUAGGUGUUCACUGUAGAUUGUUGUAUCUUAG